AAUUUUAUUGCAUAAUUUAAAUUGCAUAUUUAAAUACUGGAUUAAACAUAAAAUUUAAAAUUACUUAAAACAUAAAAAAAAUACAUAAAAAUUUAAAAAUACCUAAAAAAAAUACAUAAAAUUUUAAAAAACCUAAAACAUCAUUAAGUGGCCCAAGUAAAACAAAGGGCCGACUUGAAUUAAAAUCGGCCCAAGUAAGUGGCCCAAAAUUCCACCCUCUUUCUCCUUCACCCCCUCUUCCGCCGCACACACACACAAUCAGAUUUCUCUCCCUCUCUCCUCUCUUCUCCUCCGGCCGCCCGACUAGGUGCCGGCGACAACCAUCGUCUCCCUCCCCCUUUUCCUCAGUCACCGUCGCCUCCUCCCUCUCGUCUCCGGCGAAGCGUCGCCCCUCCGGCACCAUCGACUUUACUCACUUCGAAUUUUUCCUUUUUUUAGUAUAUUUAAAUUGGGCGCGUGCAUUGCACGCGCCAUCUCUUCCGCGGCUUCGAGGAUACUCGAUAACUCGAGGAGUCCUCGAGGAGCUCCACGCCGCAUCGCCCUCCUCGACGCACGGCCUCUCCUCGAGGACCUCCUCGAGUACCCGCGAUGCGGGUGCUCUUAGACUACAUGUGUUUUACUAAUAACUGGAAGACAUUUACAGCACACAGACAGGAUCUUGAGAUAGACAUUUACUAAUAACUGGAAGACAUUUAAGACAGGAUCUUAAAAAAAUAUCCUAAUAUAGCAUUACUAGGAAUUGCUCUCAUGCUAUCUGCAGUAAAGAUCACAACUUCAAAAUCAGAAAGUAGAUACUAGUUUAUUCUCCAAUGCACAAACACACACCACAAAGUAGACUAGACACAAACUCAUCAAGGCCAAGAGUAGUGUAUUCGUUCAUUCCCAUUUAAGAAUAUCAGAAACAUCUCUACUCCAACACAAAAGAUUUAAAAUUAUAGUAACAACUACU
rnacentral:lncRNA from 1 species